UCUCCGUUGGUGAACCAGCGGAGGGAUCAUUACCGAGUUAUCCAACUCCCAACCCCUGUGAAUUAUACCUUUAAUUGUUGCUUCGGCGGGACUUCGCGCCCGCCGGGGACCCCUAAACUCUGUUUCUAUAUGUAACUUCUGAGUAAAACCAUAAAUAAAUCAAAACUUUCAACAACGGAUCUCUUGGUUCUG
rnacentral:misc_RNA from 1 species